rnacentral:rRNA from 1 species
AUAAAUAUCGGCCGGGGAGGAGCGAAAUAAGAGCGGAGGUGAAUGUCUGGCGGAGGUGAAGAGGUGGCGAGGAGGAGGAGGAGCUAGAGCGGCGUCGUCUCUCGUGGCGUGACACCUGAUAGGAGGAGGUGCGGGGAUGAGGCCAGGCUCCUGUGUUGCACUCAUCCGCGCCACCACGAGACGAAGACGAAGACGAACUAACUAACAACGAUAGGUAAGGUAGGGUAUACGCGACACGGACAGGGGCCAAAAGCGAUUAGGCGGGCAAAAAACACAAGGGGGCCGGUUUUAGUUUGAGCAAAGCAGGUGUCGUCCUAGAAACGAAAGGAAAGACGAGUGACUAGUAUGGAAGAAAUCGGAGGCCUAAAUUUCGAGAAGAAAACAACGAGCCUAAAACGUCCUAUAAGAACUCGAAUCGACGCGCACGUACCUCUCUAACGGCAGCGACGACGGCUAGCUGAGGUCGUCGACCUAGCGAGGACGCUAAUUGGAUCAGACUGAACCGGCGGGCCCCUAUUGAACGACAAGCGAGAUGACAAGAACUCAAAUCGACGCUGUCCAAGAAGUAGAACAAGGUUCACGUCUCAUCGAUCGAUCGAUCGAUCACCUUAAGUAAGGUUCUACCACGACCGCGUGUGCAGGUUCCACCACGACCCUACGCACCGCAAGCCGUAGAAGACCCACGACCGCCACAAGGGGUCGCACGGGAAGUACGGCCACCCGGCGUGGCGGCCGAGCGACGACCCGCGGUACGAGUACCACGAGAAGGCGCACUAGAGGGGCCUCCUGCGCAUGCGCCGGUAGCUGGAGGGGUAGUAGCCGGAGGAGAAGCCGUGGUACCACCACAGGUAGAAGGACCUCGCGCGGCUGUACAAGUUCAUGGAGCCGUUGGACGAGGUCACCUUCUCGGCGCCGGGGUUCCUGGACGAGAAGGCGCAGACGUAGCAGAGGCGGUAGCGGAGGCGCGAGAAGUGGUUGCUGUGGACGACGCAGCAGGAGUGGCUCAAGUAGGAGUUCCAGCGCGCGGUCUUGUUGGAGGGCGGGGUCGGCAAAGAGGAGCGGGAGCGGUGGUCGAGGUUGUAGCCGAGGCGGCGUUGCGGGUAGCCGUUGGGCGUCUUGGAGCAGUAGCGGCAGCUCUCGCCGUAGAGGAAGCCGGUCAAGGAGGAGCCGCAGAAGGGCCGGUACUAGCAGCCGCACGAGUGGUUGCGGCGGUAGGAGGAGACGAUGAAGACCGCCAUGGAGCGGCAGCUCGGCCGGCUGGUCCUCGCGCCGCCGCAGCAGAGGUGCCCCGGGCUCGAGCAGCCGCUGCUGCUCCAGUGGAGCGUGGCGAAGUGCGGGCGGUCCUACAGCGUGCAGAGGAGCGAGUUGGGCCUGCUGAAGCUGACGCAGUCGCUCGGGUAGUAGGCCUCGCGGUCGCAGUUGCCGCUGGACGCGUCGUCCUCGCAGUUGAGGUUGAGGUUGCGGCGGCGGCUGCGGCUGUACGUCAAGAGGUAGUCCAGGGAGGCGAGGAGGUCGUACAGCGUGCUCUACCACCUCCAGAGGUGGCAGGGGCAGGAGCUGCCGCGGAGGAGGUCCUUCAAGUGGUCCUGGCGGUCGGUCGUCUCCUCGCAGUAGUAGCUCCUGCGCGGCGGCAGCAGCGGGUGCCUGCUGCUCCGGCGGCGGUUGCCGCUGUUCCUGUUCCCCCUCGAAGGGCUCCACCACCUCUUCUCCACCUUCCACGACCACACCUUCUGCCGGCACAUGGAGUAGUGGGAGCCGUACGAGUAGCGGGAGGAGUACCCGGAGUUGUACAGGACCUGGCGGUAGUGGCGGCGAGAGCAGGAGGAGCGCGAGCUAAAGUGGCUGCGUGUCCGGACGGAGCUCUUCCACAGGAUGAGCGACGAGUAGAAGAAGACGCCCUACAAGUAGUGGCACCUGCCCAAGUUGUUCUGGCCGUAUGGGUUGUGGUACACCCUCGACCACCUCGGGAUGAGCGCCUAGCUGUCGCGGUCUCCGCAGCGCGAGGAGCCGGAGCAGUAGGAGUAGGAGAGUUUGCAGCGUAGUUUACAAGGGUGUCAAGACGACGACCCCUGCUCCCACCGGCGCAGCCGGCGCCGCUAGAGUGGCCGCAGCCUCUCCUUCCGUACCGACUAUGACCGCAUGCACUCGUGCCACCGGCCCUUGGACUGCGACGACCCCAGCCGCCGCUUGGACUAACACACGCUCGUCCGCUCCGCGCGCGUCAAGAAGCCGAUGUUGGACAGGAAGACCUCGGUGGAGGCCAAGCCCCACGGCAGGUGGUAGCAGCAGUGGCGGUAGCCGGAGGAGUAGCAGUCGUCGAUGACUUAAGUUGGUUCGUUCUUUGAUUUUCUACUGUGAUCACGGACGGAACGCUCCUGGUAUCGCUUUGGGAAAAGAAGAAGUUAUUACCUCUAAUAAUGAGUACAUUUUAGCUAUCCGAACAGAACAUUGGGCAAACACAGAACACAUAGAGUCUUUUUAGUCGCAACAGUAGAAGAGAACAGCGAUUUCGUCUGCCGGCCAUUCCAUGCCCACCGUCUGGUUCAUCGGACGCAAAAGUCUAAAGAGUUGAACCUCAACGUCUAUGCCAUCCAAGAGCAACUUGAUUCUUUAAUGAGGAUAUAACAUUAGACUAAAGUCAAAACCACAAAGUCUUACUACUUAGUUGCACCAGACAUUAGCACGGUAUGAACGUAUCAAAUGAAAAUGUAGGUGAACGUAUCAAACAAAACAAGUGACGUGCUGAUUUUUUACCUACACAACCAGAUCGUUCUUGAGUGUUGUCUUCAGACGACGACGACGACACAUUCUAUUAUCAAGACCAUCAUGAGUUCAACCUUUUGUCUAACUAGUCCACCUACGACGACGAUCAUUACACCCAGGAUUUAAGUAACCACGGUAGACGAAGUUAACACCGGUUGGCCCGGUGAAAUAACCGUACACGGUUGAAGGAUUUCAGACGAAGUAAACAUUUUGGGGAACGGUGGUAUACCUACAAACGG